rnacentral:rRNA from 1 species
CCUACGGGAGGCUGCAGUGGGGAAUAUUGCACAAUGGGGGGAACCCUGAUGCAGCGACGCCGCGUGGGUGAAGGAGUAUUUCGGUAUGUAAAGCCCUAUCAGCAGGGAAGAACAAUGACGGUACCUGACUAAGAAGCACCGGCUAAAUACGUGCCAGCAGCCGCGGUAAUACGUAUGGUGCAAGCGUUAUCCGGAUUUACUGGGUGUAAAGGGAGCGCAGGCGGCGCGUUAAGCCUGGUGUGAAAGCCCGCGGCCCAACCGCGGGCCUGAAUGGGGAACGGGCGCGCGGGAGUGCCGUAGGGUUAGGCGGAAUUCCUAGUGUAGCGGGGAAAGGCGUAGAUAUUAGGCGGAACACUAGUGGGGAAGGCGG